UUGGGAAUCUUGCACAAUGGGGGAAACCCUGAUGCAGCGACGCCGCGUGGAGGAUGAAGGAUCUAGGUCUGUAAACUCCUUUUUCAUGGAAAGACUUAGGACGGUACCAUGAGAAUAGGGACCGGCUAACUACGUGCCAGCAGCCGCGGUAAGACGUAGGGUCCAAGCGUUGUCCGGAUUUACUGGGCGUAAAGAGCGCGUAGGCGGUCUGUUAAGUGUGAAGUGAAAUCUCCAGAGCUCAACUCGGAAACUGCUUCGCAUACUGGCAGACUUGAGGAAUGCAGAGGUUUGUGGAAUUCCUGGUGUAGCGGUGAAAUGCGUUGAGAUCAGGAGGAACACCCAUGGCGAAGGCAGCAAACUGGGCAUUAUCUGACGCUGAGGCGCGAAAGCGUGGGUAGCAAA
rnacentral:rRNA from 1 species